UCGUGCUAAGCGGGGAGUUAGCGGUGCCUUGAACUCGCAAUCCGCUACAGCGAGGCUGAAUACCUUUUUAAGGAUUUAAGACGGAUGCCUCUAUUGUCUUUGAUGAACGUUGAUACUUUGGUCCCACGCGGCGAAAGCCUGUGAACCCCGCCAGGUUCGGAAGAAAGCAACGGUAAGCGGUCACUUUCGGGUGCCGUGGGAGUACCUGGGUAGAGUUUCUCAAGAUAAAUACGCAAAANUCUUGAUUCGAAAUUUGGUGCACGG
rnacentral:SRP_RNA from 1 species